rnacentral:rRNA from 1 species
CCUACGGGUGGCAGCAGUGAGGAAUAUUGGUCAAUGGGCGCGAGCCUGAACCAGCCAAGUAGCGUGAAGGAUGACUGCCCUACGGGUUGUAAACUUCUUUUAUAAAGGAAUAAAGUGAGGCACGUGUGCCUUGUUGUAUGUACUUUAUGAAUAAGGAUCGGCUAACUCCGUGCCAGCAGCCGCGGUAAUACGGAGGAUCCGAGCGUUAUCCGGAUUUAUGGGGUUUAAAGGGAGCGUAGAGGGGUUGUGAAGUCAGUUGUGAAAGUUUGCGGCUCAACCGUAAAAUUGCAAUUGCUACUGGCAGUCUUUCUUACAGUUGCGGUAGGCGGUAUUCGUGGUGUAGCGG